GAGGAAAUCACUGGACUUCCGCCCUCCACUGGGGAUGGAGGGCGGGGCAUGUCGGAGUUGAACCGACUAAAACCUCCUGUCGCUCAACAACCAACAUCCAAACCUCGCAUGAGACAGAACUCAUGCAAAGGCAAAGGGGGGAAAGUGAAGCGUUUAGUGCGGAGCACAUCUCUCCCAUCACCCUCCCCCUCGGGACGCCGGACUGGCGGUCGUCGGCGCCAAGGGAUCCUUAUACUAUGGGCUCCAAGCGUGUUCAAUGAAGAAGGCUGCCUCUUAAGGGACCUAUUUCAUCUUUCUCAAGUCAUUGAGGAAAAAAUAUAAAUACGCUAUCCGCUCACAAUGAAAACGCAUACUAACAGUGAAGAUCAUUCUUACAUCAGCCGACUUAAUUCGAUGUUAGCAAUCCAUGUGGAAUUUGUGUAGUAUUAGCAUAAAAUUCAUAUGUCAUUUAUAUUUGAUCGGAUUAAAUUAACGGAUUUGGAAGGUUAAAGCUAAA